CCUACGGGUGACAGCAGUGAGGAAUAUUGGUCAAUGGGCUUACGCCUGAACCAGCCAAGUCGCGUGGGGGAAGACUGCCCUAUGGGUUGUAAACCUCUUUUGUCAGGGAGCAACGCCGGCUACGUGUAGCCGGACUGAGAGUACCUGAAGAAAAAGCAUCGGCUAACUCCGUGCCAGCAGACGCGGUAAUACGGAGGAUGCGAGCGUUAUCCGGAUUGAUUGGGUUUAAAGGGUGCGUAGGCGGAAUGCCAAGUCAGCGGUAAAAUCGCGGGGCUCAACCUCGCUCCGCCGUUGAAACUGGCGUUCUUGAGUGGGCGAGAAGUAUGCGGAAUGCGUGGUGUAGCGGUGAAAUGCAUAGAUAUCACGCAGAACUCCGAUUGCGAAGGCAGCAUACCGGCGCCCAACUGACGCUGAAGCACGAAAGCGUGGGUAUCGAACAGGAUUAGAUACCCCUGUAGUC
rnacentral:rRNA from 1 species